UACGAAGGGGCUAGCGUUGCUCGGAAUCACUGGGCGUAAAGGGUGCGUAGGCGGGUCUUUAAGUCAGAGGUGAAAUCCUGGAGCUCAACUCCAGAACUGCCUUUGAUACUGAAGAUCUUGAGUUCGGGAGAGGUGAGUGGAACUGCGAGUGUAGAGGUGAAAUUCGUAGAUAUUCGCAAGAACACCAGUGGCGAAGGCGGCUCACUGGCCCGAUACUGACGCUGAGGCACGAAAGCGUGGGGAGCAAACAGG
rnacentral:rRNA from 1 species